rnacentral:misc_RNA from 1 species
GCCUGUUCGAGCGUCAUUUACACCACUCAAGCCUGGCUUGGUGUUGGGGUUCGCCCACCCGCGGCCCUUAAACGCAGUGGCGGCGCCGGUUGGCUCUUCGCGUAGUAAUUCUCUCGCGAUAGGGUCUGUCGGUAGCUUGCCAGCAACCCAUACUUCUUAAGGUUGACCUCGGAUCAGGUAGGGAUACCCGCUGAACUUAA